rnacentral:rRNA from 1 species
GCUUAGAGCCUACUUCGGUGCCGCAGGGAAGCCGUUAAGCCCGCCGCCUGGGGGCAGUACGGUCGCAAGACUGAAACUCGAAGGAAUUGGCGGGGGAGCACCACAAGCGGGGUGGAACGCGCGGCUCAAUUGGGGUCAACGCCUGGAAUCUUACCGGGGGAGACCGCCAGUAUGACCGCCAGCUUAACGACCUUGC